AACGCACAUUGCGCCCGCCAGUAUUCUGGCGGGCAUGCCUGUCUGAGCGUCAGUUCAACCCUCGCAACCGGCUUUGCUGGAUGUGGUGUUGGGGAUCGGCUGCCUUCUAGGUGGCCGGCCCCGAAAUAGAGUGGCGGUCUCGUCGUGGCCUCCUCUGCGUAGUAGCAAUAUCUCGCAGGCGGAGAGCGGCGUGGCUAUGCCGUAAAAAACCCAACUCUUCUAAGGUUGACCUCAGAUCAGGUAGGAAUACCCGCUGAACUUAA
rnacentral:misc_RNA from 1 species